rnacentral:rRNA from 1 species
UUGAUUACGUCCCUGCCCUUUGUACACACCGCCCGUCGCUGCCCGGGACUGAGCCAUUUCGAGAAACUUGGGGACAGCCGAUCCGGCUGCCUUCGGGCAGCCGCUUUGGUCGAAACCAAUUUAAUCGCAGUGGCUUGAACCGGGCAAAAGUCGUAACAAGGUAGCUGUAGGUGAACCUGCUGCUGGAUCAUU